CACCUGUAUAACACAGGCUAGUGAAGUUAUUGCUGCUGUUAAUUGUUGUUAGAACUAGAGUAUUUUGAUUUAAACCUUUUUCGUGAUACAGCAUCUCCAGCAACCCUUGAUGCUGGACAGGAGAACAGGAACACAGAUGGGAACCAGAGUCUCAGGGACAGGUGCCAGGAACAGGAGUAAAACAGAAACAAGAUCUCAGGAACUUCGGUGACAGUAGAAUGUCGGGCCUCCAAUAUACAGUCACAUAGUGAGAGAUCGACCCCGCUCCGGAGGGCUUACCGUUUAAUAGACAAGAUGAAGGAAGGGAAAAGGAGCAGAAGCACAGAGAACAGAAGUGACUUGCCCAAGUUUGCGCAGCAUGUUAACGGAAUAGUUGGGAAUAGGACCCAGGGGUGAGAUUCUUUGUUGUACCUCUAAGAGAUAAAGCCCAAAAUUCACAGCCCAGCUGGGAGUGGGGGCUAAGGUGGGUUUCAGCCACCUUUGUACCCUCUCGAUCCAGGGGUGGCGAGGGCCCCACAGUAAUGU